ensembl:lncRNA
UAUUACCUGCCUGGAGAUGGGUUGGAAGGUGACACAUUACAUAUGUUAGAGGAUGUGUCUAUGGAGAAUGGAAGGCAAAGGAGAGAGGAGAUGAGGAGGAAGGGGCGAUGAAUACAAUAGCAGAAUAAAACAGAUGAGGCGCACCUGAGGCGCUCAUGGGAAGGGGAGGGGACACAGCUGGGCAGCAGCGGCGGAGCUGGACCCGAGCCCAGGCCGGUGGCCGUGAACUGGCGCUCAGGCUCUCCUGCACGGCCCCAGACCAAGGAGGGGGCAGGGCAGCAGGCAGAGCAUCCUGGACUCGCCUCAUGCUGCUCCAGGGUGCAGUGUGCCUGGAGGCCUCUUUCUGUGGAGGUGGGAGCUGGUGGGUCAGGAGAGGCUUUAUGGGGGACCCUCUGAAGGUUGACAAUACACCUUUGCAAGUAUUUACCUCCUACCUGGUGCUAGGAAAAGUGCUUUUCCUAGGUCAUCUCAUUUUAUCUCCACAACAGCCCUGUGAGCUAGACAGUAUUGCCAACCCUGUUUUACAGGUGGAGGAACUGAGACAUAAACCGGGGACCCAGGAGAGCCAGCCAGUAAGAGGCUGAGCUGGGACUCCGCUGGUGUCCUUGCUGCCCUGACAGGAGAGAAGGGUGGGGGCAGGAAGUGGCGCUGAGGGAGCCUGAGUUUCGGCCGGGAGGGACCACAGGGACCAGGCUGAAGGGCAUGGGGUUACACAACAGAGUAGAGGCCUUCUGCAGGAAUCAGGGCAGGACGGUACUUCUCGGAGAGUCCUGGAGGGCUGAGUGCGGGAAGCUGGAGGCAGGGGCUGACCGACACGGUGGGUCAGGCCAAGUGCACAGCAAGUGGGCCAGGCGGGCCGCCCAGGCUGGUGGGAAGGCGGGGCGAAUGGGAUUGUGCACCCUUGGGACUUCCAGGUGGAGGUGAACAUGCGCUCCAGGGGCCCGGAGCUGUGGGGAGAGAUGGGGCCGGAGAUGGGGCUGGACAGGGUGAAUGGGCAUCUGGGCUGUAACAGAGGUCACAGAGAUGCCCAGGAGAGGGUGUACCUCAGAGAUCGUAGAAUGAGGACGCACUCUGUGAGCUGACAUGGUGCGUUUUCCAAAUUUGUGGUUAAGUGACAGAUGCAAAAUGCAAGACCGUGUAUGUAGGGUGCUACCUUUUGCAUAAGAAAUAGGAGGAAAUAGGAAAAUAUUCAUGUGUCUGCUUUUUUUUUCUUUCUCUUUUUGAAAAAAAAAAAAAAAAAAAAAGAGAUGCAAAGAGGAUAAGACGGCAGUUACCAGGUGCGGGUGGGUACCAGUGGAGGGGCCAGGGAGCUGUACUUCUUUGAGUUUAACUUGAUGCAUAGAUCUGGCUUUGGAACCAAUUUAAUCCUCUAUACACUUAAAAAAAAAAUCAUCAAACAUUAGAGGAAAAAAACUUAUAGUGGAACAUAAGCAGAAACAAAUGAACCGAACUGUAUUUCAAAUUAAUGACAUAACCAUAGUGAGGGGGGGCUUUGGAACACAAGACUUUGGCUGUAUAUCCUCCAGGCUACGAACAGCAGGACUGCAGAUAAAUAUUGACCUCCGCUUUUGGCAGUGGUGUGGGAUGGCAAUUCUGAAACUAUUUUCUGUGAUUUGUAGGAAUGAGCCAGAAGAAAAUAGACUGAGGAUGAUGGGAGUUGGGUUUCUCACUCUCAGAGAAACAAGUUACAAAUAUGGAAAGACAGAAGGCUAGAGUGGACCCAGAGCUAGAAUUGAAGCCUCCAGAACGAACGCAGCCCUGUCACACUUUGACUUUAACCGGUGAGACCCAUGUCAGACGGCUGACCUCCCAAACUGUAAAAUAAGAAAUUCGUGUUUUUCUAAGCCGGUAAGUUUGCAGUCAUUUGUUACAGCAGCAACAAGAAACAAAUAUACAUCCCUUCUGUAGUAUCCUUGACAAAAAUGCAUAACUCGAAUGUAAUUCUGAGGACCCGUAAAAUAAAUGCAGAUUAUGGGACAUUCUGAAUAACCUGCCUGUUCUCUUACCAAAAAACUUAGAAUCAUGAAAGACAAAGAAAGGCAGGUGAAAGGAGACUAAAGUGACAUGGCAGGUAAGUGCAAAACGUGGUCCUGGAUUUGAGCCCGGCCUGGGGGGACAAUUGGCAAAAUGUAAGUGUGAACUGGGAGUUCCGUAGUAGUCCCAUGUUCACGUUACAUUUCCAGAUAUUGAAAAUUGUGCUG